AAUAAAUAAUUGUAUUUAGGUAAACGUGAUCUGAGAAAUAUAAAUAAAUGAAAUUCGUUUGAACACUAGCAGGUUGACAUUUAAAUCAUCAGCGGUCGUGUCGUGUCGUGUCUAAAAGUUGAAAUCGGACCAACUCUGAAAUUUCCUAGUAGUCAUGGUUAAUGAACGAUACAGCGAUUACAGCGGUCAAUCGAAAUACGACGAAGCACACGGCAUGACAAGCGAUUCUCCUAAUAAAUAACUCCGCGAAAAAAAGCAGCAUUUCCAUAAUAUAAUAUGUAUACACAUUGUAUGUACAAGUACAACAUGCACUUCAAAUAAAAAUUUUUCUUUGAGUUUCUGG